AACUGUAAUUUUUGUUAGAGGAUGUGUCAUUGUGUAUUAAAUUUAGAACAUGUCAACUCAUCGCCCAUGUCACAACAAUUCUCACGUUAGCAACAUAUUCUCCAAACAAAAAUCUUUCUCCUUCCUUGUGUCGCCACCCUCGUGGGCACCGCUAGCCAUCGUAGAAACCACCACACCACAAACUUCAACCACAUUCCACCUAACUCAUGCGUCGCCAUCAACCAUGGCAACCACCGCACCAAAAACCUGCACGAAACCCAAAUGGAGCAA
rnacentral:lncRNA from 1 species